UAGAUUCUAUUGCAUCCAAAACGUCAAUGGAUCCUUCAAGUAUUACAUGGUCCUACACGUACAACAGAAAAGUGGCAGUCUCAGAUAAGAUCACAGAAGUUGGGAUGAAAUUCCCUGGAAAACUUGAAUCCGUGCCUAAGGACUGGUGGGUAGAAGAUAUAUGUGAACUUGAGAUAGAUCUUUACAAACGAGUUAUGGUUGCCGUUAAAUCCAAAGGAAGAAUGGAUGGUAGUGUUAUUGGCGAGGCACUAAGAACUUAUGCCAUGAGAUGGCUGCCUAA
rnacentral:misc_RNA from 1 species